GGGAAGUAAUUAUUUGGUUAUAUUUGAAAGAUUGAAUUAUUAAUUAAAAUAAUAUUAGUGGUUGAGUUUUAGUAUUGUUUAUAGAAUAAAUGGAAUGUGUAAUAGUGAAAUAGUACUGUGGAGGAAGUUUGAAAUAGGUGAAAAGUUUAUUGUGUUGAAAGAAGAAACAUGGUUUGUACCUUGGGUAUCAGGGUUUAUUAAAUAAUGGUAAUGAUUUAUGAUUCUCGAAUCGUGAAGAGCUAAAGUGGUAGACUAGUUAAUGUGAUAUUAUUAUUAGUAAUGUUGUUUUAGAGAUGAAAUGUUAAGCGUUUUUCGAGUUAUCUAGUUUUCUAAGAAAUGAAUUUAAUUCAUGUUAUUGGAAGUAAAGGGUGAUUUUUAUUGCUAGUUUAUUUUUCAUGGCAAAUAUAAGGGGGGAUAAGCUCUCUUAUAAAGGUUAUAAUUAUUAAAGUAGGUAAGAAGUAGUAAGCUUUAGAUUAGCUAUCUGGGAAUAAUGUUAUAAAUUGUUUUAGUUAUAAGUUAUUUUUUAAUAAUUUUAAGUUGUAUAUUAGAAUAUUAUAUUUAAUUAGUUGAUAUAAGUGAUAAUGGUAAAAUGAGUAUAUGUGGAAUUGUUUAUUUGAUUUUUAUGGUAAUUUAUAGUAAGGAACUAGGCAAAUUAUUACUCGCCUGUUUAUCAAAAACAUCUCUUUUUGUAUUGAUGGAAGGUUGGGCCUGCCCACUGAAUAUGUUUAAGGGCCGCGGUAUUAUGACCGUGCAAAGGUAGCAUAAUCAUUAGUCUUUUAAUUGAGGGCUGGAAUGAAUGGUUUGACGAGGUAAUAACUGUCUCAUUAUAAUAUAUAGAAGUUAACUUUUAAGUUAAAAGGCUUAAAUUUUGAUGGAGGACGAGAAGACCCUAUAGAGCUUGAUAUGUAGGUAUAGGCUUAUAUUUUGGGAGUUGAUUGAGGUUUAUGCUAAUUGUAUUGUAUUGGGGUGAUAUAAAGAUAAAAGUAACUCUUUAUUUAAGGGACAUUAAUGUAUGGUUUAUUGAUCCAUUUUUAGUGAUUAUAAGAUUAAGUUACCUUAGGGAUAACAGCGUAAUUUCUCUUAAGAGUUCAUAUCGACAGGGAAGGUUGCGACCUCGAUGUUGGAUUAAGAAAUAUAAUUAGAUGCAGCAGUUUAAUUAAUAGGUCUGUUCGACCUUUAAAUUCUUACAUGAUCUGAGUUCAGACCGGCGGGAGCCAGGUCGGUUUCUAUCCUUAUUUUUUGUUUAUAUUUUAGUACGAAAGGACCAAGUAUUUUAAAUAAUUUAUUUUAUUGAUUAUUAUU
rnacentral:rRNA from 1 species